ACAAGGAUUCCCCUAGUAACUGCGAGUGAAGCGGGAAAAGCUCAAAUUUAAAAUCUGGCAGUCUUUGGCUGUCCGAGUUGUAAUCUAGAGAAGUGUUAUCCGCGCUGGACCGUGUACAAGUCUCCUGGAAUGGAGCGUCAUAGAGGGUGAGAAUCCCGUCUUUGACACGGACUGCCAGGGCUUUUGUGAUGCGCUCUCAAAGAGUCGAGUUGUUUGGGAAUGCAGCUCAAAAUGGGUGGUAAAUUCCAUCUAAAGCUAAAUAUUGGCGAGAGACCGAUAGCGAACAAGUACCGUGAGGGAAAGAUGAAAAGAACUUUGGAAAGAGAGUUAAACAGUACGUGAAAUUGCUGAAAGGGAAACGCUUGAAGUCAGUCGCGUUGUCCAGGGAUCAACCUUGCUUUUGCUUGGUACACUUUCUGGUUGACGGGUCAGCAUCAAUUUUGACUAUUGGAAAAAGAUUAGGGGAAUGUGGCAUCUUUGGAUGUGUUAUAGCCCUUGGUUGUAUACAAUGGUUGGGAUUGAGGAACUCAGCACGCCGCAAGGCCGGGUUAUUAACCACGUACGUGCUUAGGAUGCUGGCAUAAUGGCUUUAAUCGACCCGUCUUGAAACACGGACCAAGGAGUCUAACAUGCCUGCGAGUGUUUGGGUGGAAAACCCGAGCGCGUAAUGAAAGUGAAAGUUGAGAUCCCUGUCGUGGGGAGCAUCGACGCCCGGACCAGACCUUUUGUGACGGUUCCGCGGUAGAGCAUGUAUGUUGGGACCCGAAAGAUGGUGAACUAUGCCUGAAUUAGGGUGAAGCCAGAGGAAACUCUGGUGGAGGCUCGUAGCGAUUCUGACGUGCAAAUCGAUCGUCAAAUUUGGGUUAUAGGG
rnacentral:rRNA from 1 species